rnacentral:misc_RNA from 1 species
UGGGUCUAGGCACACGAUGUUUGCGGCAGCCGGGAGUCGAAUGAGCUCCGUUGAAAGGUAUGAUGUGGAGAGAGAUGAGUGGGUUGCACUUGAUGGGUUGCCGAGGUUUCGAGCUGGGUGUGUUGGGUUCUUUGUGGGAAAUGGUGAGAAGAGAGAGUUUUGGGUGAUGGGUGGCUAUGGUGAAUCAAGGACUAUUUCAGGAGUGUUUCCUGUGGAUGAAUAUUAUAGGGAUGCUGUUGUGAUGGAGCUGAGG